rnacentral:rRNA from 1 species
UUUAAAUUGAGAGUUUGAUCCUAGCUCAGGAUGAACGCUGGCGGCGUGCUUAACACAUGCAAGUCGAGCGAUGAAGUUUCCUUCGGGAAACGGAUUAGCGGCGGACGGGUGAGUAACACGUGGGUAACCUGCCUCAUAGAGUGGAAUAGCCUUCCGAAAGGAAGAUUAAUAC